GACGAACGCUGGCGGCGUGCUUAACACAUGCAAGUGGAGCGACGAACCAGGGCUUGCCCUGGGGCAAAGCCGCGAACGGGUGAGUAACACGUGGGUAACCUGCCCCGAAGACCGGGACAACCCGAGGAAACUCGGGCUAAUACCGGAUGUGGUCACUCUUCAUAAGGAGAGUGAGCAAAGGAAGCUUCGGCCUCCGCUUCGGGAUGGGCCCGCGGCCCAUUAGCUUGUUGGUGAGGUAACGGCUCACCAAGGCUUCGAUGGGUAGCUGGUCUGGGAGGACGAUCGGCCACACUGGGACUGAGAAACGGCCCAGACUCCUACGGGAGGCAGCAGUGGGGAAUCUUGCGCAAUGGGCGACAGCCUGACGCAGCAGCGCCGCGUGAGGGAAGAAGGCUUUCGGGUCGUAAACCUCUUUCAGGAGGGACGAAGCUUCGGGAGUGAAUAGCUUUCCGGAGUGACGGUACUUCCACAAGAAGCCCCGGCUAACUACGUGCCAGCAGCCGCGGUAA
rnacentral:rRNA from 1 species